UACAGGGGGUGCAAGCGUUGCUCGGAAUUACUGGGCGUAAAGCGUACGCAGGCGGACCGUUAAGUCAGGAGUGGAAGCCCGGGGCUCAACCCCGGAAUUGCUUUUGAAACUGGCGGUCUUGAAUACGGGAGAGGUGAGUGGAAUUCCUGGUGUAGAGGUGAAAUGCGUAGAUAUCAGGAGGAACACCGGUGGUGUAAACGGCUUUCUGGACCAUAACUGACGCUGAUGCACGAAAGCGUGGGUAGCAAACAGG
rnacentral:rRNA from 1 species